CGCGAAGGUCCGGGGCUCCAUUCUUGAAGUCAGCAAGACCAUGAACCCACCAGAAGGAACCAACUCUGGACAUAUCUUGGCAACCCAGAUGGGACUAUCUCCAAGCACAUGAAUUACAUGCAUAAAUACUGGACCUCCAGCGAUCAUCUUGAGGGUGUGAAAAGAGCUUGCAGAUGCAAACUACAUAAUAAGAAAACACAACAGAAAGAUAAACACACAGAUGUCCAGAACAACAU
rnacentral:lncRNA from 10 species